AUGGAGCGUAUGACAGCCUCAUAUUACAAGGAGGUCUUCAUUAAAGACCCUACCUUGUCGCCGGACAUGGUGUUAGAUUGCAUCGAGCCUAGAGUGAGAGACGCGAUGAAUAAUAUUUUAUGUGCUAAAUUUUCUGAACAGAAAGUGUCUGAUGCAUUGUUCCAGAUUGGGACUCUUAAGGCUCCCGGUCCAGAUAGUUUUCUUGGAAGAUUCUACCAGAGGAACUGGACUUGCCUCAAGUCAGAGAUUAUUGCGGCGGUUUUAUCUUUCUUUGAUUCAGGUGUUUUGCCUGCUGGGGUUAAUGACACCUCCAUUGUGUUGAUUCCUAAGGUAGACCGUCCUUCUGAUCUCAAGGAUUUUCGCCCUAUCAGCUUGUGA
rnacentral:rRNA from 1 species